UACGUAGGGGGCUAGCGUUGUUCGGAAUUACUGGGCGUAAAGCGUACGUAGGCGGCUUUGUAAGUUAGAGGUGAAAGCCCGGAGCUCAACUCCGGAACUGCCUUUAAGACUGCAUCGCUAGAAUCCGGGAGAGGUGAGUGGAAUUCCGAGUGUAGAGGUGAAAUUCGUAGAUAUUCGGAAGAACACCAGUGGCGAAGGCGGCUCACUGGACCGGUAUUGACGCUGAGGUACGAAAGCGUGGGGAGCAAACAGG
rnacentral:rRNA from 1 species